UCCCAGUCAUCCCGCGCGUCUCCUUCCUUCCCGUGAUCCCACUCUUCACGCGGCGGCUUCCCAGCCAUUGCAUCUCAUCCCAAGCAAUCAUCCGAGUCCCAGCCAUCCACGAAGCUUCCAAUUCGGCCAUCCACUUCCGUUUCUAGCCAUCAAGGAGCCCGUGAAGCCAGCCAUCAUCUUCUUCAACCUUCCGCGCAUCCCUCACGCGAUCAGCACCCGUCCGCUUCUUUCCCCAUUUCAAAAAUCCUCCCAGCAAGGCGUGAUCUCAGACACCAUUUCCAGCUUCUUCCGGAACCGACCCAGCCUCCUCAGCGAUCCAGCCGUCCGCAGUGAUCUUCCAUCUCCGCAUCCAAGCAUCCGCGGCAUCUUCUUCUUCCGCUCGUCCCAGAGCAUUCACAGCAGCGGAAUGGCAGCCCAAUCAUCCGGAUCCACGUCUCUGCCUUCCCACGGAUCCCGCGUCCGUUCCGAGUCCGCCUCCUUUGAAGCCAGUGAUGCAUCCCAAGAUUGCUCCUCCCAGCUUCUUCCGUCCGACUCCAAGCCGUGAUCCCUUCCUCCCGUCGAUCCCGCGGCGCUCUUCAUCCGGAUCCAGCCGUUCCCCCCACGGAUCAUGCGCGAUCCCAGCACCCCAUCCGCAUCCGGGUACCCCGCGGCCAGCCGGGAUGAGCAUCCCGGACGAUCCUCUCCACAAAAGCCGGCUUCAAAGAGGUGGGGGCGACUAUAAAAGAGGGGGAGGAGAGCUUGGUUUGGGGGGUGGCCGGCGGGUCCAAGGAGGAGGAGGAGAGCUCGGUUGAGAAGGAAAACAGAGCAUUGCUCUGUUCUUGGGGGAAAGAAGAAAGAAUUAAAAAAUAGAGGAGGGAAGAAAGAGGAGUUUUCUAAUUUCUUUUAUUCCUUCCUUUGAUUUUUAUAUUUUAUUUUGUAGAAGGAGGAGGCAAUAGGCUUCCAAACUUCAUUUUAUUUCUUUUGUAAUUGUCCU
rnacentral:lncRNA from 1 species